rnacentral:misc_RNA from 1 species
GAUGAAGAACGUAGCGAAAUGCGAUAAGUAAUGUGAAUUGCAGAAUUCAGUGAAUCAUCGAAUCUUUGAACGCACAUUGCGCCCGCCAGUAUUCUGGCGGGCAUGCCUGUUCGAGCGUCAUUUCAACCAUCAAGCCCCCGGCUUGUGUUGGGGACCUGCGGCUGCCGCAGGCCCUGAAAACCAGUGGCGGGCUCGCUGUCACACCGAGCGUAGUAGAUUUUCAUCUCGCUCAGGGCGUGCUGCGGGUUCCGGCCGUUAAAAAGCCUUAUUUACCCAAGGUUGACCUCGGAUCAGGUAGGAAGACCCGCUGAACUUAAGCAUAUCAAUAAGCGGAGGA